UGUGUCCGGGAAGUGGAGGAGG
rnacentral:miRNA from 1 species